ACGAACGCUGGCGGCAUGCCUAAUACAUGCAAGUCGAGCGAAUGACGAAGAAGCUUGCUUCUUCUGAUUUAGCGGCGGACGGGUGAGUAACACGUGGGCAACCUGCCCUGUAGAUUGGGAUAACUCCGGGAAACCGGGGCUAAUACCAAAUAAUCCAUUUCCUCACAUGUGGAAAUGUUAAAAGACGGUUUCGGCUGUCACUACAGGAUGGGCCCGCGGCGCAUUAGCUAGUUGGUAGGGUAACGGCCUACCAAGGCGACGAUGCGUAGCCG
rnacentral:rRNA from 1 species